GACGAACGCUGGCGGCGUGCUUAACACAUGCAAGUCGAACGGAAAGGCCCUGCUUUUGUGGGGUGCUCGAGUGGCGAACGGGUGAGUAACACGUGAGUAACCUGCCCUUGACUUUGGGAUAACAUCAGGAAACUGGGGCUCAUACCGGAUAGGAGCUCCUGCUGCAUGGUGGGGGUUGGAAAGUUUCGGCGGUUGGGGAUGGACUCGCGGCUUAUCAGCUUGUUGGUGGGGUAGUGGCUUACCAAGGCUUUGACGGGUAGCCGGCCUGAGAGGGUGACCGGCCACAUUGGGACUGAGAUACGGCACAGACUCGUACGGGAGGCAGCAGUGGGGAAUAUUGCACAAUGGGCGGAAGCCUGAUGCAGCAACGCCGCGUGAGGGAUGACGGCCUUCGGGUUGUAAACCGAUUUCGCCUGUGACGAAGCGUGAGUGAAGGUAAUGGGUAAAGAAGCACCGGCUAACUACGUG
rnacentral:rRNA from 1 species